AGGACGAACGCUGGCGGCGUGCCUAACACAUGCAAGUCGAACGAGGUCCAUUCGGUAGUAAUACCGAUGAAGAUCAAGUGGCGAACGGGUGAGUAGCACGUGAGCAACCUACCCCGAAGACCGGGACAACACCGGGAAACCGGUGCUAAUACCGAAUAUCCCCACCAGAUCGCAUGGUUUGGUGAGGAAAUGCCUGCUUCUAUUAGAUGCAGACGCUUUGGGAGGGGCUCGCGGCCUAUCAGCUUGUUGGUGAGGUAACGGCUCACCAAGGCGACGACGGGUA
rnacentral:rRNA from 1 species